AUGUCAAACACCUUACGAACUGCAACCAAAGCCUUCCAGCCUGGCCUCAGUUCAACCAGCACUGAGGCAGCAUCAGGGCUUAAGCCUAAUACAAAAAAUACAUAUCUUGUCUGCGUUCGCACAUCAAGCCUGUUCUACAAGUCAGUUAAAGUUAAGACAGCUGCAUAUUUUGGUCCUCUGGGCGAUUCUCAUGCCCACACAAGUUUGGGAAUCACUGGACUAAGGGAAGUAGACAACCGGCCCACCCUAUGUUUUAGAUCACUGGAAGAUAGCCGCCCAAGAAAUUGGAACCGUGAGUUUGAAUCCCAGCCAUGCCGCUACCUCUUUCCAGGGCCCUGAAAGCUUCAUUCAAACCAUCUAGCUUUUCAUUUCCUAAAAGCCACAAGAGCAGUGGCUGUUCCAGGCAGAAUACUGCUCAGCAUUGGAAGAAGGCACUGACGAUUUAAAAGCGAGCACGUACAUGUGUGCAGGGAAAGCUCACCAUAGUUUAUAGUCAACAAUUCUUUUCUUUCCUUUCAAAACUACAGCAGUCGUGGAUUCAGGACCCAGAGCAUGUAGUCGUUUGUAACACAUUUGGAAUGACUGGGAGAAAUGAGAAACAACAUGCAGCAAAUUAAUAAGGAAAAGAUUAUUCCAUCUGGGGAGCUGGGCUCUGCACCUGCUAGCACGUCCCUCUCUCUGUGAAACAGAGCUAUAUUGGUCACAAAUUAAAUAAGCUUCCUGAAUUAAUCAGCUAUUAACAUCCAGCUGAGAAGUCCUAGGUUCAACCCCUCCAGAAUGACCAGAUUGUAAACACAAAGGGCUUCUCCAGUGUUUGUGGCAAACCUUUCCCUGACUGUUGGAACUGUUUCUGGAAACGGGGACUGGAGAGUAAUCUAUUCCCACCCCCACCCCAUCUCUGUGUGUAUGUGUAUGUCUGUGUGUGUGCACAUUUCUGCACAUGUUAGACUCCGCAAACAGCGUUUGAAGAUUUUCUGUUUGUGGGCUGGGGUGGAGGUGUCCAAAUAUGUUAACCAUCUAUUGGGCAACGUGGAGACCUGAAUUCUGGCAAGGCUGCCUUAGGAGCCAGGAGUCCUUGUAGCUCAGUUAACUAAGUGAAGCCUUUUUCUGGGUCCUGAACUUUAAAGCCCUCAUCUAUCAGGAAGUGACUCAACUGGACCGUCUUGGAGGCAAAUUCCAGCUCCAAGAGUCUGUCAUCCUGUUCUUCCUACUAAAUCACUUGUGGUACAAAGAGAUUAAAGAGGUAUCUGAAGCACUUAAAGGCUGGGGAACAAAUCUGAGGAUUCACUGUCCAUCCCCUGUCUCCAUCAUUGAUGCCCUUACUGCUUGGCACGUACCACAAAAUUGAAAUCCAGAAGCACUUGGGUCCUGCAUAGAAGUCGAAGCGGGGACAUGCCCCAGGGAAGGUGUUCACUUCAUAUGUGACUAUGAAAAUGGUACCAAACUGCUUGACAAUCAGGCAGAAAAUGCCUUGGAGGUGGUGCCCAAAUAUUAUUCAAGGGGUGAACUUCAUCUAAACUUAAUUUCAGAAGCCAGACAAUGAUAUUUGCCUAUUUUAUGUCACUCCGUAUUCAGUGGUACCUGGCCAAGAGAGACGCAGGGUGUUUUGUGGAGGCACAGUCAGGAAACCCUGGAUCAAACCACAGCAUCUUCAUCCUGCAGAUCACUGUCGCAGAACUCUGAACAAACAGGGCUCACACCUCAGUCCCUUUGCUGUCACCAACGACAUGUUGCUCUCAGCUUGCCUCAUUGCUGCCCCAAACAUUCUGGAUGUGUCCUCUUUCUUGAGACAAUGGCGGUGAAGACAAGAGUGUCACACGAUAAACCAGGGCAACACUAUACCCAACAGCAGACUUCUUCAGAGCUGACCUUUAGGGAAGGUCAUUCUGAGUGGAGCUUAGAAGACAAACUUCACUGGCACAGCGGAGUCUGGAAUUCUUCAUGCCAGCCUCCCAACCUUGGCUUAUUCCUGGCCCAGGGGCCUUUAGGCCUGAAUCUCUGAGAAGCCCCUAUUUUCUUUCUAGUUCAAUGUACUUCUGCUCCCAGUUUAUGUCCAUCCUCUCUUCCUAGUGACCCGAGGAGUCGUUUCUUCUGGAAUCCAAUGUCUCGCCUCUUGGAGCAUAGUAUGAGACUUAAAAGUAUAGAUUCUGGAGCCUGACUGUUGGGGUCUGAAUCCCAGCUUUGCUACUAGAGGCUGUGUAUCUGUGGGCAAGUUACUUAACUUCUCUUCACCCCAAUUUCCUUCUAAGUGACAGGUAAAAAUUCUACCACCUACCUCAGAGGAUUUUUGUGACGAUCAAAUGAGUGAAUACACAUAAAGCACUGAAAAAUGACGGACCUGUGGGAAGGUGUCAAGAUGUUUUUACAAGCUCUUAUUCUAUUGACUGGUGAUGAACUGGGCUCACCUAGCAUGGGUAUCAGAGAUCCUUCUCUAACAUUCUCUGAUUCUUAGAGGAGAUCCCAUUUCAUCGGUGUUUCAUAAGCAUCUAGGGCACUUUGUCUUUUCUGGAAGACUCAGAGAGGCAGCUCUUGGUUAGCCACUAACAAUACUCCUUGGCCGUUGAGCUGUGGCCAAUACACAAAUGGAGGAGAUAUACUACAAUAAAAGGCAUUUUUCUAGACUGUCCA
ensembl:lncRNA